AUCCAGCUGACGAGUUCCAAAUCGGACGAAACGCGCAUCCUGGAU
rnacentral:hammerhead_ribozyme from 1 species